UACGUAGGCAGCGAGCGUUGUUCGGAGUUACUGGGCGUAAAGGGUGUGUAGGCGGUUCUUUAAGUUUGGUGUGAAAUCUCCCGGCUCAACCGGGAGGGUGCGCCGAAAACCUGGGAGGCUAGAGUGCGGGAAUGGGAGAGGUGGAAUUCCUGGUGUAGGCGGUGAAAUGCGUAGAAUAUCUGGAGGAACACCUGCGGUGUAGACGGCUUACUGGACCAUAACUGACGCUGAGGCACGAAAGCGUGGGUAGCAAACAGG
rnacentral:rRNA from 1 species